rnacentral:tRNA from 1 species
GGAGGAAUACCCAAGUCCGGCUGAAGGGAUCGGUCUUGAAAACCGACAGGGUCUUAACGGCUCGCGGGGGUUCGAAUCCCUCUUCCUCCGCCA